GUCAUAUUUCACAACAGUACAUGUGUCGGCCUACUGUACUGAAGCGGCUAAUUUUUUUUGUAUUUCAACACAGCGCAAUUCAAGAUCCCAUUCUCCAAUAAAAAUGCACGCGCCUGUUUCGACAAUGACCAAUCAGGUUGAUGGGUAAUGAAGACACGCCCGCGCGCUAUGUUCUUGCGGCAGUAUUUUGUCAUACAUUCGCGGGAGAAGAGCUUUGCAAAGUUUUGUCAGCAACUAUUACAUUUUAUGGCAUUUAUUUGAGGUACUUGGCAGGCGAUAGCUGCGCGUUAUUAGUACAACCUUUACAGUUUGUUGACUGCACACUACUAGACAGCUUCCUAGCUAGCUAGACAGCUAACAACAUAACUGGCAAACUUUUUGCAAGAGGUCUGUCGUUUUGAUCCAAAGUAUCUAAUAUGGCAACCAUGUGUCACUCAAGACGUGCCCUGAUGGAAAUCCCAGCUCCACAGCCGAAAAUUGCAGCUCGACUGAGAAGGUCCUACCUGGAGGUUCUAAGUUCACGCAUAACUCCAUUCUCAACCACCUCUAGAGGCAGAAACCUGACCAGCAACUCAAAACGUGGGCAUUCAUUGGACCCAGCCAUAUACAGAACAGGGAGUAGUCGGAGUGAGGCCCAAAGUGAGAGAAUGGAAGACAACCAGACACCCCUGUCCAACCAGCAGCUUGUGCAGCUCAUAAGAUCUUUCAUCCUAGUAGAACAGGGGCAGAGGCAGGAGCCCAGAGCUCUCACUACGGACCUGAAACCGAUACAGGAGGACUUGCACCUGAAGAAGACCAAUGUCUAUAGAUCUAUACCCUACUCACGCCUGGGGUCCAACAGAGACGCACACUGUUACAGAAAGGCAUAUCCACACCUGGUGGUGUUUAAAGUUUCCUGCCAGGAGUGGGGUCAGCUGCUGCUGCAGAACGAGGAGUGGGAGUCUACUCUGGAGCACGCCCUAGUGGCGUGGAGGUACACCAGCGAGCUGCCACAGUGGGACACCAGCAGCCACAACUCGGUGAGGGAACAGUGUUACAUCAUGCUGGCAGCACACUGCAUCACAGCUCUACAGCACUAUUGCCCAGACCCCAGCAAAGCCAUAGAGCUGCACAGGAGGUUUAAAAUGGCACAGCUGCACAGUCAGUUGAUCUAUCCUUGUAUUCAGGAGCUGGAGAGAAGCCUCAGCGAAGCACAGGUUUGUUCCAUGAACACCCGCUGAAAUGCCCAACCUGCUGAAAUGGCCAACACUAAGAUCAGCUGACAACAAUCAGCACGGCUUCCAAGUCUAUGGGGUUGCACUAUUGAACAGCGUAUAUCAGUGGUUGCCAUUCAACUAUGUUUGGUAUCCUUGCCUUGUGUUGCGCUAUUCCCCCUUGCCUUGCCUACAGUAUUCCCCCCUUGCCUUGCCUACAGUAUUCCCCCUUGCCUUGCCUACAGUAUUCCCCCUUGCCUUGCCUACAGUAUUCCCCCUUGCCUUGCCUACAGUAUUCCCCUUGCCUUGCCUACAGUAUUCCCCCUUGCCUUGCCUACAGUAUUCCCCCUUGCCUUGCCUACAGUAUUCCCCCUUGCCUUGCCUACAGUAUUCCCCCUUGCCUUGCCUACAGUAUUCCCCCUUGCCUUGCCUACAGUAUUCCGCCUUGCCUUGCCUACAGUAUUCCCCUUGCCUUGCCUACAGUAUUCCGCCUUGCCUACAGUAUUCCCCUUGCCUACAGUAUUCCGCCUUGCCUUGUCUAAAGUAUUCCCUCAGAGUAAAUACAAGAGAAAGCUUUGAUGAAUUUUGGUAAGCUGUUUUUUAAAUAUGAAUUUAAGCUUUUUGUAUUAAGUUGUUUUGUAAAAUGUGUUUAUUGCCAUUGAACUAUUGAAUGUUAUCAUAAGGAAAUUAUGAAAUGGCCUUUAAAAUGUGAAAUGCUGUCAUAGGGAAAUGAACUGUCCUUUUCACCUAGAUGUUUUAUAUGUGGGGGAUGUUUUUGUAGAUGUGUUGAAAAAUGCCACGAUACAUGAAACAGCUGCCUUAUUUCAACUUGGCUGAAUGCUACCUGUUUUGUAAAUAUUUGUCUAAAAUAACUGUUUUGCACUUAUGUUCUUCAUCCUGGAAACUUGACAUUUUGAUAAAAUAGAAUCUAAUUUAAUAAAAUUCUACUUUUUUUCAACA
rnacentral:lncRNA from 1 species